rnacentral:rRNA from 1 species
GACGAACGCUGGCGGCGUGCUUAACACAUGCAAGUCGAACGGAAAGGCCCUGCUUUUGUGGGGUGCUCGAGUGGCGAACGGGUGAGUAACACGUGAGUAACCUGCCCUUGACUUUGGGAUAACUUCAGGAAACUGGGGCUAAUACCGGAUAGGAGCUCCUGCUGCAUGGUGGGGGUUGGAAAGUUUCGGCGGUUGGGGAUGGACUCGCGGCUUAUCAGCUUGUUGGUGGGUAGUGGCUUACCAAGGCUUUGACGGGUAGCCGGCCUGAGAGGGUGACCGGCCACAUUGGGACUGAGAUACGACCCAGACUCCUACAGGAGGCAGCAGUGCAGAAUAUUCCACAAUGGGCGGAAGCCUGAUGCAGCAACGCCGCGUGCGGGAUGACGGCCUUCGGGUUGUAAACCGCUUUCGCCUGUGACGAAGCGUGAGUGACGGUAAUGGGUAAAGAAGCACCGGCUAACUACGUG